rnacentral:rRNA from 1 species
ACAGGGAUUGCCCUAGUAACGGCGAGUGAAGCGGCAACAGCUCAAAUUUGAAAUCUGGCCCUAGCGGUCCGAGUUGUAAUUUGUAGAGGAUGCUUUUGGUUAGGUGCCUUCUGAGUUCCCUGGAACGGGACGCCAGAGAGGGUGAGAGCCCCGUACGGUUGGACACCGAGCCUCUAUAUAGCUCCUUCGACGAGUCGAGUAGUUUGGGAAUGCUGCUCUAAAUGGGAGGUAAAUUUCUUCUAAAGCUAAAUACCGGCCAGAGACCGAUAGCGCACAAGUAGAGUGAUCGAAAGAUGAAAAGUACUUUGAAAAGAGGGUUAAAUAGCACGUGAAAUUGUUGAAAGGGAAGCGUUUGCGACCAGACUUUUUCCAGGCGGAUCAUCCUGUGUUCUCACCGGUGCACUUCGCCUGGUUUAGGCCAGCAUCGGUUCUCUUAGGGGGAUAAAGGCCUGGGGAACGUAGCUCCUUCGGGAGUGUUAUAGCCCCUAGCGUAAUACCCUUCGGGGGACCGAGGAACGCG